rnacentral:rRNA from 1 species
AGCAGUAGCCGCGGUAAUACGGAGGGAGCUAGCGUUGUUCGGAAUUACUGGGCGUAAAGCGCGCGUAGGCGGUUACUCAAGUCAGAGGUGAAAGCCCGGGGCUCAACCCCGGAACUGCCUUUGAAACUAGGUGACUAGAAUCUUGGAGAGGUCAGUGGAAUUCCGAGUGUAGAGGUGAAAUUCGUAGAUAUUCGGAGGGACACCAGUGGCGAAGGCGGCUCACUGGUCCAUUACUGACGCUGAGGUGCGAAAGCGUGGGGAGCAAACAGGAUUAGAUACCCCCGUAGUCCCUGUCUCUUAUAC